CUAGAACUGAUGUUGUGGAUACAUCAUACAGUGGUACCACUCCAUUACACUGUGCUAUUGAAACUGGUAACAGUAAAAUUAUCAAAUUAUUGAUAAGUAAAGGAAAUGCUGAUGUGAAUGCUGUGGAUAAGAACAACAGAACUCCAUUGUUUGAUGCUGUUAG